GGUUAAAUUACCCAUGNGCCCCANAGAGUGGGCCAACCCCAAANUUUUAAGUGGGGUCUAAAAAGGAGUUCNNGNAGGCCCAGUUCUUAAAUAAAUACUUUUGNGNAAAUGGAGGUNGGCUUAANCUCAACCGGGUAUGCAAAANAGAGGACCUGUUAAAACUUGGAAACUGGGAGGAGUUCAGAAGGUAUUUCGGGGGGGAGCGGUAAAAUGCUAUAAUCCCCGGAGGACCACCAGUGGCAAAGGCGUCUGACUAGAACAGAUUNGACGGUGAGGGACGAAGGCCAGGGGAGCAAAACGGAUUAGAUACCCGAGUAGUCCUGGCCCUAAACGCUGUGAGCAAGGUGUCGCGUAUCCUUCGUGGAUACGCGGUGUCGAAACGAAGGUGUUAAGCUCACCACCUGGGAAGUAUGGUCGCAAGGCUGGAACUUAAAGGAAUUGGCGGGGGAGCACCACAAGGGGUGCGGCGUGCGGUUUAAUCUAAUUCAACACAGAGAAUCUCACCCGGAGCGACGGCAGAAUGAAGGUCAGUCUAAAGGGCUUACCAGACAAGCCGAGAGGUAGUGCAUGGCCGUCGUCAGCUCGUGCUGUAAGGUGUCCUGCUAAGCCAGGUAACGAGCGAGACCUGUAUCUACAAUUGCUAACGACUCUUUUUGGAGAAUCGAGCACAUUGUAGAGACUGCCUUGGAAACAGGGAGGAAGGCGCAGGCUACGGUAGGUCUGUAUGCUCCGAAUCUUCUGGGCUACACGCGCGCAACAAUGGUAAGGACAAUGUGAUGCAACUCUGAAAAGAGAAGCUAAUCCUAGAAACCUUAUCUUAGUUCAGAUUGAGGAUUGUAACUCAUCCUCAUGACGAUGGAAUCCCUAGUAAUCAGAUGUUAUCAGCGUCUGGUGAGAUAUGUCCCUGCCCCUUGCACAC
rnacentral:rRNA from 1 species